UCGGGAAUUUUGGGCAAUGGGCGAAAGCCUGACCCAGCAACGCCGCGUGAAGGAUGAAGUAUUUCGGUAUGUAAACUUCGAAAGAAUAGGAAGAAUAAAUGACGGUACUAUUUAUAAGGUCCGGCUAACUACGUGCCAGCAGCCGCGGUAAUACGUAGGGACCAAGCGUCGUUCGGAUUUACUGGGCGUAAAGGGCGCGUAGGCGGCAAUUCAAGUCAUCUGUGAAAUCUCCGGGCUUAACUCGGAACGGCCAGAUGAUACUGCUUUGCUAGAGUGCAGAAGGGGCAAUCGGAAUUCUUGGUGUAGCGGUGAAAUGCGUAGAUAUCAAGAGGAACACCUGAGGUGAAGACGGGUUGCUGGGCUGACACUGACGCUGAGGCGCGAAAGCCAGGGGAGCAAACGGGAUUAGAUACCCAAGUAGUCCCUGAGCGGGCUGGCAAGGCGCAU
rnacentral:rRNA from 1 species